UACAGAGGUCCCAAGCGUUGUUCGGAUUCACUGGGCGUAAAGGGUGCGUAGGUGGUAAGGUAAGUCAGGUGUGAAAUCUCCGGGCUCAACCCGGAAAUGGCAUUCGAUACUACCUUGCUAGAGGGUUUGAGGGGGGACUGGAAUACUUGGUGUAGCAGUGAAAUGCGUAGAUAUCAAGUGGAACACCAGUGGCGAAGGCGAGUCCCUGGAAAACUCCUGACACUGAGGCACGAAAGCUAGGGGAGCAAACGGG
rnacentral:rRNA from 1 species